AUGGAUCUGAAAGUUUUGAACCACUGCACUCCAGCCCGGGCGACAGAGCAAGUCUCCGUCUCAAAAAAAAAAAAAGAAACAGUAAGAGAAGGAGCUUCCCUUUCCAUCCGCCAUCUGCGGGGGAGCCGCCACCAAAACGCAGAUUUUCAUAAAAUUACAGGGAAGACCAUCACCCUCGAGGUCGAACCUGUGGAUACGAUAGAAAAUGAAAAGGCCAAGAUCCAGGAUAAGCAAGGAAUUCCUCCUGAUGAGCAGAGACUGAUCUUUGCUGGCAAGCAACUGGAAGAUGGAUGUACUGUCUGACUACAACAUUCGAAAGGAGCCCACUCUUCAUCUUGUGUUGAGACUUCCUGGUGGUGCUAAGAAAAGGAAGGAGUCUUACCCCAUUCCCAAGAGGAAGAAGCACAAGAGAAAGAAGGUGAAGCUGGCUGUCCUCAAGUAUUAGAAGGUGGAUGAGAAUGGCAAAAUGAGCUGUCUUCGUCAAGAGUGCCCAUCUGAUGAUUGUGGUGCUGGGGUGUUUAUGGCAAGUCACUUUGACAGACAUUAUUGUGGCAAAUGUUGUCUGACUACUGCUUCAACAAACCAGAAGACAAGUAACUGUGUGUGAGUUAAUAAAAGACAUAAACUUAAAAAAAGGAGAGAGAAGGGAUUUUCAAAGAAGACAUUUGAGGUAAUGAAUGCCACUUUCCCCCAUUUUAAACUGUUGCACGAGGGAAAGUAUAUUUUUUGAAUCUGUAAGUCUUUUAAUUAAAGAAAAUUAAUUACCAGUAAAAAGGGGACUGACUGUUUAAACUGGUUAUGGUUUUAGUACUGGAAUGUUAACACAUCUGAUUGUCUAAAGCUUAUCUUCUAUUCUUAGCUACUAGUUUGUGAAGAACAAUUUUUUAGCGACUUGUCUUCAUAAGAAAUAUACCUUAAAAUUUUUAUUAGUAAGGACAUUUGGAAUUUAUUUUUAAUCUUGCAUUAUCUGAUGCAAAUUAUUAUAUGUCUGUUUUAUUGCUUUUUAUGGCAUUAGAAGUAUCCAGUAAUACUUUUUUUUAAAGAAAAAUUUCAACAGAAAAACACAAAUUAUUGCAUUUGUCGUUGUGUGCUGUAAGUUAGACAGAUCAUUGGGUGCCUCACUGUUUCUUUUACCUGUGGCACCUGGACUUAGCCGGGAAUUCUUAGAGGAUGCCGUGCUGUGGUGGCCUUGAUUCCUUGUGUGGGAGCCAGUGUCUUCCAUUGUGUUCUCCUUCAUAACUCAAGAGAGUCCCCAUGGAUAACUGGCCUGAAUUUAUGACCCGGCUUACUGAUUAACUCAUGGGAUUGUUACAGCUAAAUAAAGCUUAAUGAGUAAUUUUUAAUCCAUCCCACUAUGUGGGAGAAGAAUAUCACUUCUUUACAUUUUAGAAGUAGAGCUCCAAACUAAAUAACCGUCAGAGAUUUGUCUUUGGUUUUUUUUUGUAUGUUUUUUUCAGUGAAAACAUUCUUUAUUAGUAAACAGACAUUUCAAGCUUUUUGAUUACGUACAUCAUGCAAAAUGACUGACCUCACGCAUGGUUGUCUGUUCAUUGUGACAUCUUUUUUGAGAUGAUUAUACAUUUAAGAUGACUGCAGUAGUAAAAAUAAUUCAUGAAAAUGACUCUCGAUGAAGCAAAACACUACAUAGCACACAUGAAAUACUGUUCAUCCUUCCUGGAUGUUUAAUUCUCUCCUAAUAUAAAUCUCUAUUUUGGAAGACUAUUAUAUACAAAACUGGCAGUUGUUUUUGUAUGUGCAUCUAUAGGCACUGAAAUGAUAAAAACAAGAAAAUUUCAAAUAAUUUUACAAGAUUUGGUUGUUUUUCCUGUUUUGUUAAUCCAAAACAGGACAAUGCCCUUUGAUUUACAAUGUUCAAGAUGAUUUUGACCCAUGAAAAAGUUGUUUUACCCUGGUAAUCUUUUUGAAAUGGAGCUGGCUGAUAGACAUUAUCCAGGUUGUUUUCAGUAAGUGAAAAGGAAUAGGGCUUGUUUUGAGAAGAAUUCCUCUAAAUUAUGGUGCUGAGAAAACUUCUCUGCAGUGGUGGGCUCACCACUUUCAUCCUGUGGUAGUUCUGGUAGCACUCCCAGUAUGAAAACCCUAGCACAGGUAAAUUCACCUCUUUGAAAUGAGCAGUGACCCUGGAGAAAGGUGAAUUCCAAAUAUAGUAGCAUAUUCAAGUCAUCUGGCAGCGAAGUAGGCAUCAAAGACUUCUAGGUACUUGGGGUGCUACUGUAACAAAUACCUAAAAAUGGAAAAAUGGCUCUGGACUUGGGCAGUAGGUAGAGGCUGGAAGAAGUCUGAGGAGCAUGCCAGAAAGAAGCUGAAUUGCCUUAAACAGACUGUUCGUAGAAAUGUGGAAUGUUAAUGCUAGGGAGGCCUUGAAGGAAGAAAGUAUCGUAGAGAAUACCUCGAUUGCUGUAGAAUAUCGAAAUCAUCAUGAAUAGACAGUUGGUAGAAAAUGAGGAAUAUGUUAUUGGAAAACUGGAGGAAAGGGGUCCUUGUUACAUAGUGGCAAAAAGCUAAGCUGAAUUGUGUCCUGUAGUUAUGGGUAAAGCAGAAUUUUUAAGUGAUGACUUCAAUAUUUAGUUGAGGAUAUUUCUAAGCAAGCUGUGGAAGGUACAGCCUGCUGUCUUCUUGCUGAUUAUAGUAAAACGUGGAAGGAGGUAGAUAAAUUGAGGGAAGAACUGUUACAUAUAAAGAAACCAGGACUUGAUGAUUUGGGAAAUUCGUGGCCUAUUCAAAGCAACAGCCACUAAAACUUAAGAGAUUCACUGUCAGGACGGCCUUCUCUAGAGAAAGUGAUGAAGGUUAUGGCUGUAUAACCUGCUAAUACUUCAGAAACAUCAAAAGGUCUGAGUAUCAAGUCACACAAAAGGCUCUUUGAAGAGAUUAAGGGUGUAAAUCAUAGAUCCUCUCAGCUAUUUCAGAAAAAGCCAAAAGUAGAGACAGGAUUUUCGAGGAAAGAUAUGUGAGGAGCCUCCUGUCUCAGUGAGUGAAUCUCCAUGACAUACGUAAGAGACCCACAGGUUUCUUGACAAUGUUAUAGCAGCAGAAAACCACCAUUUUUAACAGAAAGCUUUAGAGAACAUAAAAGAAGAAACAGACUGAUAAGCUGAUACUCAGCCGCAAACGUGUGCUACCUUUCGUGAAAAAGUAAAGAUGACCGAGACAGUCACAAGCCCGGAGAACUGAGCAGUGAGCUGAAGAUUACUCCCAGGCCUUGAAACUUAAAGGAUGGUGCCUGGCUGGUUUUGCAAAUUGAUUGGUGCUGAUGGGUCCUUUUUUCAUCUCAAUUUCUGCUUUUUGAACAGGAAUGUGUGUAACUGUUACUGUAUGCCUGUCACGCCAUCAUACUUGGGAGCAGAUAACUUGUUCUCUAGGUUCGCAAGUGCACAGAUGGAGGAGAAUUGUGCCCCAGAAAUCACACCCAGAUCCUCUCCCAAAUUUAGAUGGCUUUAAUGUGAGAUUUCAGACUUUUGAGUUGGUGAGACUCAGAUAAGAUUUUGGAUUUAGAGUUGAUGCUGUAAUAAUGGGUUGUGACUUUUGAGCACCUAUGAGUGACGUAAAUUUAUUUGUGAUGGAUCUGAAUCUUUAACACAGGGGUGGAGCGGGGAUAGGGGGGCACUGUAGUAGGCAAGAAGACUAAUGUUCCAUGUAAAAUGUUAAUGUCCUAAUCUCCAAACCUGUAUGUAACCUUAAAUGGUAGAAGAGAUUUUGCGGAUGUAAUUAAGGUUACUGUGGAUUUCAAGACCAGGAGAUAAGCCCAGAUUAUCCAGUGGGCCUAAUUUAAUCAUGAGUCCUGCAGAGAGCCCCUCCAGGCUGGCGUCAGAGAGGUGUGAUAACAGACGGGUCGUAGAGAUGAAACAGUGCUGGUUUUUAAGGUGGAAGAAGGAGGCCACAAGCCAAGGAAUGUGGAUGUCCUCUAGAAGGUGGAAUGAUAAGGAAAUGAUUCUCCUCUGCAACCCUGCCAACAAACUGAUCUUAAAAGCACCACGAAACCUGUUUGGACUCCUGACCUAUAGAAUUGUUAAGAUAAUAAAUUUGUGCUAUUUUAAGCCACAUUUUGUAACUUGUUAUGGUGGCGAUGGGAAACUAACCAGAAGUGAUAACUAAGGAUGACGUGGUAUCUGGGGAGAAGGAAGCACUUCUGGCUUCAGAAAUGCAAACAUUUAUGCUGGUAAUUCUUUUGAUAUAGUCUGUCCGACAGAAUAUACAUUCCUGUAUUUCUACACUAGUCUGGUUCUGGAGAAGACGUUCUAGGUUGAGCACAUGGAAGAGUGUUUAGUGUGUAUAGUGAGUUUCCUAGAAAAAUGUGUUGAAUGAAUAAAUGAAUGUGAUCAAGGCAAGCUUUGGGAGGGACUGUAAUUACUUGAUUUUGAAAUGUUGCUGCUGUUUACCAUAUCUUCUUAAGAAUUGCUGACCUUUAGGCUGGGCGCAGUGGCUCACGCCUGUAAUCCCAGCACUUUGGGAGGCUGAGGUGGGUGGAUCACUUGAGG